rnacentral:rRNA from 1 species
AUUGAACGCUAGCGGCAGGCCUAACACAUGCAAGUCGAACGAGUGGCGGACGGGUGAGUAAUGUCUGGGAAACUGCCUGAUGGAGGGGGAUAACUACUGGAAACGGUAGCUAAUACCGCAUACCAUCGGAUCGGCCAAUAUGGGAUUAGCUAGUAGGUGGGGUAAAGGCUAACCAAGGCGACGAUCCCUAGCUGGUCUGAGAGGAUGACCAGCCACACUGGAACUGAGACACGGGCCAUACGCCUACGGGAGGCAGCAGUGGGGAAUAUUGCACAAUGGGCGCAAGCCUGAUGCAGCCAUGCCGCGUGUAUGAAGAAGGCCUUCGGGUUGUAAAGUACUUUCAGCAGGGAGGCGUUACCCGCAGAAGAAGCACCGGCUAACUCCGUGCCAGCAGCCGCGGUAAUUC